ACUGAAUUUGACUCAGUAACAAGACCAAGUGACAAAUUUUCCAAAGGGACUGCUUUGAGUGGAGUAAUUUAGGACACUGAAACCAAAUGGCUCCAGGGCUGUUGGCAUAUUCCUGGUUUGACGUUUCCAGCAUCUGUAACUGUGGAGUGUGUGAGCAGUAAUUAGUGGGCACCAGACCUGGCCACCUACCCUGAGACUUUUCCUCCAUUGCAAGGCUGGUCACCUUCUGCUCCCAUAGCCCUGAGGACUUCACAUGCCUGUCCCAAAACACAUUUCAUCUGCAGUGUUGCAAUCUGUGGGUCCGUCAGGAAUAAACGUACAGAAGAAGGCUAAAUGAGUUUCCAGACCUUCACAGCCUUUGAUAAGCGCCAGUAAUGAUCUGAAGUCUGAC